rnacentral:lncRNA from 1 species
UUGGCUGGGGUUUUUUUGCUUGUUUGUUUUUGUUGCUUUAUAAGGAUUUAAAUGCAGGGGAGAAGUAUUAGAAACAUUUAGAUGUUGUAGUAAGGGACAUGGCUUAGUGGGGAAAUAUUGGCAGUAGGUAAACGUUUGGACUGGAUGAUCUUGGAGAUCUUUUCCAACCUUCGUGAUUCUAUGAUUCUACGAUUAUAGAACAGACCAGAAAAGCCUGAUGCAAGGAACUAAACGAAAGGACAGAACACAGGUGAACAGAGCUGUGAAAAAUAAUGAGAAAAUGUGCUUCCUUGAGACAAGCCCGCGCUAUCAGCUAAGCAACCUCACAUUCACUGCAGCUCUCCAAGUACUCUGGAAUGCUUUUCAGCCCAGAGGAUAAUGGUAUCAGACGACCAGAAAAGCUGUCCUGUAAAAGACUGUUAUUAUGAUUUCCAGCCUCAGAAGUUGGCUUAAUCCAGCUGAGCACACACAUGUUAUUUAGAGAGGAGACGGCGCUCAGACGCGACUAUCGGCGUUAUCUUCAUUGCAAAUGAAGAAUUCAGCUGGUGAGAGGCGAGCUGCGUUUUUGUCCUCAGCCCUGCAAACACCGGCUCUGCAGUGACUGAAUGUGGGUCUGUUUAUACGGGUGUGCAUCUGCCCCAGCCCCGUUUGCCCCAUUGCCAACCCAUCCAUCACAACGGCAAGGGUUGCCCCCCACGUUCCCCCAGUCUCACGAGCAGAUCCGUGCACACACACAGGGUAAGGUGUGAAAGCAAGGGUUAAUGGGGGGCUCCGUGGCAAAACCUCCCUGCCACGUUUCUGCACCAGAGAUGAGCGCAGGGGCCUUAAAAUAAAUCUGUCUUUCUAAAGCAGAGACGUGAAAUGGAGGUUUGAGAUCAAAGGCUGGGAUUCUCACAUUUUGCCAAGAUAGACAUAUCCAUUCACAAGAUUGCGGUGUAACAAAAUACUUGCUAAUGAAGAGAAUCAUAAUCUUAUUAUUAGCCCCAACCUACAACAGUGUGUCAUUCAGGAGUUGGCUAGAAUGUGCCCUACUUUAGCAAGUUGCACAGUGCUUCUCUUUGGAUUUAACGAGCUGUGAUUGUGUUUAUUUUCAGCAGCAAUCAUGCCUGUUCAUUUUUGACCAGGAUCUGAUGGCUAAUGAUGGAAAUCAACAGGAUA